UGUCGGUAAAAGUUUGUGCUCCUGUUCUACUUCUUCCUGGAAGUGGUUUACAUUAAAAGCGACUGACAAAACAAUGUAGCCAGAUCUGACUGCACUCUUGACAUCAUCAUCCAACUCUGAACUCGCCUCAAAGUGAAGGUUCGUUGCUUUGACCUUCUGGUUGUGACAGUGGAGUCGGACUCCUGAGGCGAGGAAACCAAAUGACUACCGGGAGUGGGAAUCUUGUCUUCCCAGAUGGCAGGGAGAUUUGUAAGAAGAUGCAUCACCUCCAAUUCUUACAUCUAUCAAAUGUUUAAAUGAUUUUAAUAAAUGUCACCUGAAUUUCAUGCAUUUGUUUGUUUAUUUUCUGACCUUCUUUUGUGGGUGACAGCAGCAUUUGACUUCAGAGUCUAAUAUAGUAAGAUCGGGUUCUGCAGCCUGUUCCAGAGCCCUUGCUAGUUCACUGAUAUAUACAUUGAUAAGGGUGGCUACUCAAGCUACAGCCUUGCCUCACUCCACGACUCUGAGGGAGGAA